GACGAACGCUGGCGGCGUGCUUAACACAUGCAAGUCGAACGGAAAGGCCCUGCUUUUGUGGGGUGCUCGAGUGGCGAACGGGUGAGUAACACGUGAGUAACCUGCCCUUGACUUUGGGAUAACUUCAGGAAACUGGGGCUAAUACCGGAUAGGAGCUCCUGCUGCAUGGUGGGGGUUGGAAAGUUUCGGCGGUGGGGGAUGGACUCGCGGCUUAUCAGCUGGUUGGUGGGGUAGUGGCUUACCAAGGCUUUGACGGGUAGCCGGCCUGGGAGGGUGACCGGCCACAUUGGGACUGAGAUACGGCCCAGACUCCUACGGGAGGCAGCAGUGGGGAAUAUUGCACAAUGGGCGGAAGCCUGAUGCAGCAACGCCGCGUGCGGGAUGACGGCCUUCGGGUUGUAAACCGCUUUCGCCUGUGACGAAGCGUGAGUGACGGUAAUGGGUAAAGAAGCACCGGCUAACUACGUG
rnacentral:rRNA from 1 species